AGAUUGAACGCUGGCGGCAUGCCUAACACAUGCAAGUCGAACGGGAGUAGCAAUACUCUAGUGGCGGACGGGUGAGGAAUACGUAGGAAUUUGCCCUUAAGUGGGGGAUAACCCGGGGAAACCCGGAUUAAUACCGCAUGACCUCGAAAGAGCAAAGUGGGGGAUCGCAAGACCUCACGCUUUUGGAGAAGCCUACGUCGGAUUAGCUAGUUGGUGAGGUAAUGGCUCACCAAGGCGACGAUCCGUAACUGGUCUGAGAGGAUGAUCAGUCACACCGGAACUGAGACACGGUCCGACUCCUACGGGAGCAGCGAGUGGGAAUAUAGGACAAGUGGGACGCAAGCCUAGAUACAGCAAUGACCGCGUGUGUGUAAGACGGCCGUUGGUUACGUAAGUACGUACGUUAAGGUUAAGG
rnacentral:rRNA from 1 species